CUUGCACAAAUUUCGUGCAUCGGGCCUCUAGUAAUGAAUGAAGAGAGGGAGGGAGAGAGGGAGGGAGGGAGUUGCUUGAAUAGCCAGACAGCCCUGUAAAGGGAAAGUAAAUCCUCCUUUAGACGACUAUCGAUCCGCAGGCCCUCCCUUCCCACCGGCAUGCUCCUGCUCUUCAC